GUAAAUUGAAACCUACAGAUGUUCAGUGACUUGUCCUCUCACGUCAUCUGACAGUCUUGAGCUAAACAGAGAAAGCAGAAGCCAUGAAGCUGAACUGAGCUCCCGUGCUGUCUGCUUAAGGCAAAUGCACUGGGGGGAAGUGAGGCUUCGCCACAGCCCCCUCGCGUUGCUCUGCGCCCUGCCUCAUAUCUAAGCCGCAGACCUGUAGCUGUCCAGGAAGUUUGGAGGCUGAAACAUCUUCUGCCACCUUCAAAGCUUGCCGUAGAGAACCAGCCCUGGGAUGUGGACAGCCUCAAACUGGCAGAUGCGAGUUGCUAAGCGGUGGAGUCCGGCCAAUAGUGAAACUGAGGGGGCUGGGACAGGAGCAGAUACUGACUCUGGUUCACUUGGUCUCAUGAGCCAAAUGGAAAGGUGGUGUCUGUGCAUGCAAACUGAGGAGAAAUGGAGGUCUGUGGAGAUUAGAUUACCUGACUCCUUUGAGGCCAAAAGAAAGAAAGAAAGAAAGAAGAAAAGAAAAAGAAAGAAUAAAGAGACAAAAGAAAACUACUUGGUCCCAUUUUUCUUCACAGACCAAGGGAACAUGUGUAUUUCACCUAAAUUAGGUAUCUAACUGCUUUCAUUCUCCUCAGCACUUGAUCUGUGGGUGGAAACAGUCCCAGUGAAGCCCUUUCUUCUUACUGGUUGUUACAGUUGAGGAUCUGGGAAAGCUAUGAGAAGAGGCUCUUUCUGACUCUAGGAUCAUAUUAUGGUUUCUAAGAGAUAGACGUUUUAUUCACACAGCCUGACUGCUUGUAAAAGAAGAAACACACAUCCGGGAUUUGCAGACAAAAGAAUCCGUUCCAGCACUGGCGGAAGGACAGGGAGCCAUGGGCAAUAAGCAAAUUACCCAGAGUGCCCACGCCUACCUCCAGGAAAAAUAGAAAGCAUAUUAAGAACAGGAAGAAGCCAUUUAGCCUAACUUUCCCAUCUUUGGAGGAUUUACUUUAAUCACAUCUUUCAGCUCUUUCACCAUCCCCAAUACUUCCUGACUUCUCCUUCAACAGAUCUAGGUGUCUCUCUCUGGAGCCUGAGCUAUUCUCACAUGGGCUCCACUGCCCUGCCUCUGAUAAGCUGUUCCAUAUGGUGGGCCCUUUGUUCUCACAGUGCUGGGUUUUACAACUUCCCAUUGACUCGGAGUUUCUUAUUUUUCCAAUGGGCUCUUUGGGGAUUUGCACCUCCUGCUAAUAUACAAAUUAUUUUCUUAGUUGCGUCAUAUCCGUUCC
rnacentral:lncRNA from 1 species